AGAAGGAUUAUUUAAAUUCGGGAAUUGUUGAGCAGCCGGGUUUGUUCGGGCAUAUUGUGCAACCCACUCAUUCAUCAUGGUAAAGAAGGCUUGCUUAGCCCCAUCAUCUUGAUUACUCGCAGAUGGCUAAGGUUCAACAGGCGCUGUCCCUUGCGCGGGAGCAGGCGCUACACUCUCAACAUCAUCCGCUAAGGCUCUCUCUAGAGUGGAUUCCAUUUACUAAUCAAAACAACAAUUUCAACCGUCAAAA
rnacentral:lncRNA from 1 species